AAAAAAAACUACAAACAUGGCGGAUACGUGAGACCAACAGCGCAGCAGAAAAGGCGUGAUUAUUAAUUAUUCUGAUUUGCUGGAAACAUAUUUAAUGUUAUCCUCUUUAUAUUUCAAGUUCAAAUUGAAAAAUGUUAUCGCAACAAGUGUGUCGCUCCCAGAAAGAUUAAAAUAUAUAGAUGCGCCGCUGACGUCACCGAUGACGUGUUUCCGUUUGUGUGAGGCUCGAAGGGUAUUUGUGUUUUUAAAUAAAGCUCAAAUCGUUUCCGCGCUUCUUGUGGCUCAGGGUUUAAAGGAGGUUCGUAAUAAACUGAGUGUGUGUUGUUUGUGUAAAGCGCGCCGGUGUGUGUUUAUUCACCGUCGACGUGAUCGGUGUGGAGCGGAGUCAGUAUCGGAUCGGAUCCGUGUAGAACUCAUACUUACCUGGCAGGGGUGACUCCAUGAUCAAGCAGGUGGAUCACCUAGAGUGAGGAUCAGCCAUUGCACUUCGGCUCUCUGACCUCUAUGAAUUCUCCACAUGUUCUUGAACGUGUCUGGACCCUCAGGUGUCUCCAGCCACUCAAGAGGCCAGCUGGCUUUAAUACUGGGACGGUCCUUCAGCAUCUCGUAGUACUCCAUCAGUCUGGGACAACGCUCUCGAGGACAGCUGAAAACAGAUAUAUUAUAUAUAUAUAGAAGUUCCUCUUCGUACGCUCAAAUGCACUUUGGAGUCAGAAGAUGAAGGUCUACAUUUACAUUGAUACUGGCUUGAAGAAUCUCAGAUGCCUUCUCUUGUGCUGAGCUGCUGUGCUUUUGUCUUCUGAUGAUAAACCUGUACAAUUCUGUGGGACCAAAACCCUGUUUGUUUUCUGUCUUUUGUGUGUGUGUGUGUGUGUGUGUGUGUGUGUGUGUGUGUGUGUGUGUGUGUGUGUGUGUGUGUGUGUGAAUCAUCUUAUAAUCAAGCUUUCGUUGGCAGCACUUGAAACGGCUUCAACGUCUGUACAUUAGUUCUACUUCAUUUGUUGUAAAACAAUCACGUUACUAUAUAUUUGUGGAAUGCUAAUUUAAGUUGAUUAAUUUAAUGGAGACGUGUUGAGAGAGUUUGGACCAGGACGGCUGCUAUCGGACGACACGAGCGAGGCUGUACUCGUCACAAACACUAACGAAGCUCGUUAAGGCUUUGUUCGGGCUGUAACGUGUCGCUGUUAUCAGAUACUCUACACUGUGUUUAAUUCGCUCGCUCCCGUGAAAAGAAUUUGUAGAAGACAUAUUUUUGUAAAGGUUGGAGCUUCUGGGUAUUUUGUCAAAACUCAAAUAAAGAUUAAUAUAAUAUUUAAAAACUGC